GGACGCAACCCCCAAUAACCAGCUUAAUAGACAUUAACCUAUCAUUCACUCGCCUAACCUCGACCACGGACUCCCUUAGGUCCCUAUCUACCAAGAUGCUCACUCCAUUCUUACCUCUCACGACCCCAGAAUACCACAGCUUAAACCCGUCUACAUUCCUUGCCUUCGACCCUUUCCACCUAGUCUCCUGGACACAUGCUAUGUUAACCCUCGUCUUCUGAAGAACCUUCGCCAACUCAAUGGACUUACCCGUCAUAGUGC
rnacentral:lncRNA from 1 species